rnacentral:rRNA from 1 species
UACAGAGGUCUCAAGCGUUGUUCGGAUUCAUUGGGCGUAAAGGGUGCGUAGGUGGCGCCGUAAGUCAGGUGUGAAAUUUCGGAGCUUAACUCCGAAACUGCAUUUGAUACUGCGGUGCUUGAGGACUGGAGAGGAGACUGGAAUUCAUGGUGUAGCAGUGAAAUGCGUAGAGAUCAUGAGGAAGACCAGUGGCGAAGGCGGGUCUCUGGACAGUUCCUGACGUGAGGCACGAAGGUCAGGGGAGCAAACGGG